CGGCCAGUAUUCCAGCUCCAAUAGCGUAUAUUAAAGUUGUUGCAGUUAAAAAGCUCGUAGUUGGAUUUGUGGUGGCAGGCGAUGUCCAAUUUUGGUACUUUCGCUUGCCGCCAUCCUUGGGUGGAACCUGUGUGGCAUUAGGUUGUCGUGCAGGGGAUGCCCAUCGUUUACUGUGAAAAAAUCAGCGCGUUCAAAGCAGGCUUAUGCCGUUGAAUGUAUUAGCAUGGAAUAAUAAGAUAGGACCUUGGUACUAUUUUGUUGGUUUGCGCACCGAGGUAAUGAUUAAUAGGGACAGUUGGGGGUAUUCGUAUUCCAUUGUCAGAGGUGAAAUUCUUGGAUUUCUGGAAGACGAACUACUGCGAAAGCAUUUACCAAGGAUGUUUUCAUUAAUCAAGAACGAAAGUUAGGGGAUCGAAGAUGAUUAGAUACCAUCGUAGUCGUCAUAGCUGGUUUCCUGA
rnacentral:rRNA from 1 species